AUUUCUGAAAUGUUUUCCUUCCUUCACUGUCCAGUACUGUGAGCUUAAAAACUGGUGCAUUCACUACACAUUCAUUCUGCUAGCGCUGUUCUGAUAAGCCAGAACAGUUCUGAUAUCUCUGUACUCAGAUGACUUCUGCUUAUAAUCUUGGUUUUACAAUUUUAGAAUCUGAAUCUCUUUUUGAGAGAGUUCUCUUUUUGCAGUAGUUGCCAAGUAGAUGGUAGAAACAGAUCUAUGAGAAUGGUUCUACCAUGACCAUUUAGGAUAUAAUUUUAGAUUUUGCUCAGUAAUAAUCAUCGCUAAUGUCCAUCUGCUUCAAAAUGUGUGUUAUUUUGGAAACGUCUCUUUAUUCCAGCUCAUCUCAGAGCAGAUGGCUGCAGUUCUGCUUGCAGCUGAACUUCAUGCUAUCCCAUGAGUCCACUAUGUCUGGGCUUGUUUCAGCUUCUAGGUGCCCACCAUUCAAAGCCAGCUGUGGAACUCCUGCUAAUGACUCCUCACAUGCUGCAAGGGAGAUGAAAGGACAUGUGAUAAUGAAAAGUGGUGGUCUUUGUGGAAGGCAAAUGAGUCCCAAGUACAUGAUCCUAUAAAUGCCAUUAUCAUGAAAAUCUUGUUAAUAUACUUAAUUCAUCCCUAUGUCAUGAGUGACAGACACGAUGUAUUUUUUUUGUCUUAAAUGGCUCUUUGAGCAGCGUCGGCGAUAACGUGUUGUAGUAAGACACUGAGAUGCAUGUCUUGCUAACAGUUUCUGAAUUCCAUGGUGCAUAUAGCAUGAUGAACCCAGAAACAAAGGGAAGAAGUUCAGGUGAGAAUAUAGACAAAGCUGCAGUGUUUUGGAGUAGGUUCUCUUAAUGCUUAUUCCUGUUCAUCUGUGAGAAUGAAGAUGUAGCUGUCAGCUGUGUUGCAGGAAGGGAUUUGUUCUUGGAAAUCAGGUCAUUGUAAGCAAACCAAACUACUCAGUCUCACCUGAGUUAAAAGAGGGAAAUUUUUAAGCUUCAAUCCUUGGAAGCAAUCCAGUAAAGGGCCACUUCAACUGAAAUGUGGUAAUUAAUUAAACUGUAAUAUAUUUUGGGAACUUCUAAAGUAAGCUUUGUCUAAAAAGCAGCUUGGUUUUUCUAGCUCAACCGGUGCCGUUUCACUCUACAUCAACAAAAUGAACACCUAUGUAGUAUAUGGUAUAUGGGAAAAAGUAAUAGAUGCUGAAUUCAUAGCUCAGAAGUUCAUUUUGUUUUGGAAAGCAGAAUGUGAUGCCUGCCCCUAUCCAGUGGAGUUCUUGGAUGGAGAAAAGGGACAACUCAACGUGUUUAAAGGUACAGAUGCAUUCAGAGGCUGAGGUAACAGGACAGCUGUGGUGAGAGCCACAGUUCAUAAGAACAGGAGGGGGAUGUGCCUUUCCUAGUCUUACAAAGUGACUUACGUUUAUUAUUUUUUUUCUUUCAGAUUGCACCUGUAUCCUUCUCAACUCAUGUAUGGAAAAUAAGACCUGAUGCAACUGGCAUGCAGGACAGUUUCCCUUGUUAUCUGUGGCAAAGAGUCUUUAUGACUGUUUAACAAAAUGGUUCAGAUUCGUCCCAGCUCAGCUUGGACCUCCCCUGAAAGGUAUGAGAUUUCUUGAAUCAGGAAAACCAUGCACAUGCUGAAACACAAAUCCUCUGCUAAAAGUUUUUAAGACUUGACAGCUCGGUAGCACAGCAAUGUUGCUUAAUAACUACUGUGUUUCUGUUCAAGACUUAGACUACUUUUCCCACUUACUGCUGUUAAUUUAAAGAAAGUAUUUCUUUCCUUGUGCUUUGUAACUUUGUAGACCACCAUACAGAAAUAAGAGGAUUAUUUGGCCUAUGGAAAUAGGCCAAUUUGUGAAGCAGUACCAAUGCUUUCAGGCUCAAUCACUCACUUAUUUAUGUUGCAGCUGUUUAGCGCAGAGUUUAACCUUCUUGUUGCGGUGCAGGUGCUUGGUUUAUAGUUUCAUAAGUAGGGAUGCAAAGAGCACAUACUAACAGCUGCUCAAUUUCCAUCUGCAUUGCAAUUCAUAACACACUUGUGCAGUAAGGUAAAACUCUUGUAUGUUGUCUGCCCCCUCCCCCAUUUUUUCUUCAUUAAAUUUCAGCCUUACACUAGUACUUGGCACUGCCGAGGCUGCAACUUGAGUACUGUGUUCAGUUUUGGGUCCCUCACUACAAGAAGGACAUUGAAGCCCUGGAGCGGGUCCAGAGAAGUGCAAUGAAACUGUUAAGGGUCUGGAGCAUAACUCUUAUGUAGAGUUGCUAAAGGAACUGAGAUUGUUUAGUCUGGAGAAGGGAAGGCUUGGGGAGGCUUUUUCGUUCUUUACAACUGCCUGAAGGGAGGUUGUGGUGAGGUGGAGGUCAGUAACAGUGAUAGGCUGAGAGGUAAUGGCUUUAAGCUGAACCGGGGAGGUUUGGGUUGGUUAUUAGGAAAAAUUUCUUCUCAGAAAGAGUGGUGACGCAUUGGAACAGGCUGCCUUGGGAGGUAUUCCAAGAAACAUGGACGUGUGGCACUGAGGGACAGGGUUUGUGGGUGUGGUGGUGACAGGUUGGCAGUUGGGCUGGGUGGUCUUAGUGGUCUUUUCCAACUUUAAUGAUUCUAUGAAGGGGCAUUCAUUUCCAUAUGCUUGGAAGAAGGCUUUGUCUGUAUGUGGGAGACUUGCUUCAACAGUUCUUGUCUGUGCAGUCACCACCUUUGUGCAAGUCUGUGUGGGUUUCUUAUUAGCUGUGGAUGACAACCUCCUCUGUCGUGUUUUCUUUCACCAAAUCUCAUUCUUAAUUCAGAUGCCUCAACCUCUAUGUCUUCACCAGUCAUGGUGUCAUUGUGGUAGCUUUCUUGGGAUAGAGUCCUGGAAAAGCACUGCUUGUGACUCCAGUGAUGUCUAUCACUGCUGCUUGUUUCAGAUCAGCAGAGCAUCUGCCCUGCUUGGACGUUUCAUGCUCUGCCCCCGCCUGAAGCACCAUAUGCCAGCCACAACAUGGCCAGCUGAGGGGGCAGCUGAUCUGGGAACAGUUGGGAUCCUGCUUUCUGGUGACACUGAGCUCGGGGAAGGAACUGUGAAGUACAAAUGCAUGAGGAGCUAGAACAAAAAGCAUGGGUAACUUUGAUUUCCCAAAUGAUGACUGCUCAGCCUAGCACCAGGUCAUUUGGAUUCUUUUUUUUCCCCAUACCAUUCCUAAGAACAACUCCUGUAAGUUAGAACAAUGAAAAGCUACAAAACCAACCAGCUCCAUGUAUCUAACACAUACCGCAAAACUGCUAGUUUAUGUAGCAAAAUAAAUGUAUGCUUCAGCACAGUCUAAUAAACAAUUUAAAUGUUUAUUUGAAAAACAUGAACAGUACAAAUCAGCAUGGGAAGACUGGGCCUACUUAGUAAGCCAGUAUUGUAGAUUCUUUUUUUCCUUGAUUUUGAGAUGUCACAUAGCACUGUCACAAAUACAAACAGAACCUUGUGAACAAGCCAAGUUUUAAGUGCUAACAAUUUUUAUGAUCAUUAGGGGGUCAUAAAAGUAUAAAGUGCUUGAAAUACAAAUCUACCUUUUUAAAUUUCAUUUUGCAUAUAUGUCAAAUUACUUGAGCAAUACAAAUGUUUGGUAGUGAUACUUUCCUUGCAAGGCACACUCAACCCUAAGAGACCUGAAUCCAGGUUGGGCAGCUCUGUUUUGGCUUGCAGGCACACGUAACGUUUGUGAUACUCCUUUGUCCUUUUCUGAAAAGUGGCAUUUGGAGACUUCAGGACACCCUGAAUGUCAUCAGCUGGCUACUUAGGAGAGCUGUUUUAUCUGUAGGUGUGAAGGCAGCCAGCAUCCUGUCUGAGCUGCACAGAAGUGACUUCACAGAAGUUAAAACCAAUGGUAGCUGUUAGAUUUUGAAGCUUGUGAAAAAGGCUGCAUGUUCUUGAAGAAGUACAGGGAAGUCAGCUUUGGGCCUCAUCCUGACUAUUCCUUUACUAUUUAAUCAACUUGCUUAGUUUUCUCAGUAGGAAACAAAGUAUUAAGAUCAAGUGCCAAAUUUCAAGUCAACUAAAAAUUCAUUAAAAACAAACAACAACAACAACAAAAAAAGAGCAACUCUGAAGUAAAUACAAUGUUAAGUACAUGUUUUCUCAUCUAAAUUAUUUUUCCUGUCUGGAGCAUCUGAAGGCAAGCUGAUGGUAAUCACAGGUACAUAGCUCAUUUGAUCCAGGAGAAGGAUGCCUCUGAAAGGUAAAAUUAGCUGUCAUUAGAAAAUAAAACUCAAAACAAUCCUGUGUUCUAAAAGUAAGACAUUCUUAAAAGCACCCUAAACUUUCAUUUAAGUUAAUGUGUGAAGUAUUAUCCUAAUAAUACCUCUUUGAAAGUAGAAUGGAAAUCAUAUGAAAAACUGGUUCCAAAAUGUAGUGGCUCUUGUUUCAGAGAAGGCCCCCAAUUCAGUUUGUACACCUGAACUAUCAGCAGAGUAGGCUCAAUUUCAACAUAACCUAAAGCUGUUCAGCCUUUCAGUUCCUCAGAAUGCUCUGACAAGCCACACGCAAGCUCUGUGUUCUUCAGCUGGACAAGAAGUUACUGCAGUCUGGUUCCUGUGUUCUGUACUGACCUCUGCCACAGAUAGCUCAUCACACACUUUGCUGAAUGGUUUAUGGUAGUAAGAUUUUUUUUCCUAGUUCUGCUUAUUUCAAAUCUUCACAGCAUUAAGAUCCUUACGGUUGUGGGAGAGCAGCUGUUACAAACAGUUUCUUCACUUUUCCUACUCUAACAUGCUAGUUCCAAGAAGUACGCUACUCUGACAACAGGCUUCGUGAAGUGUCAGGGGGAAGCAUGAUAUCUUCUGUUGCUGCAGUUUCCAACCUUCUCAGUUUACCGACCCUCCCUUUUCCUAGCUCUGUCAGAAGCACCAAGGCCAACUCUUAUCCCUGGGUGAAAAUUAGCCAUGCUCAGGGCCUUUCAGAAGCACAGCUGCUCAGCAGUAUUUGAGAACAUCAGCUGUGCUUGCUCCAAGUGAGGAAGCACAAUUUGCUGUCAAUCAUUCCUCCUAAAAAAAACAUUUGGUUCCAGGGGUUAAGGCUUCCCGAGUUGACUUGGGUUCCUUAAAAAUGUUCAUGCUUUUCCUACUCCAGCUCUAAAUCUGUACUGAUUUCUUAGCUGCAGUUGCCAUUUCAUACUUCCACACCUCAUUUGCAAAACUUGCUUCUCUGAAAAAUGUUAGUAUUGCUGGUUAGAUACCAGCCGAGUGAAUAAAGCCAUCCAUAGUCAAUCAGUUUUAUUUAUAACCUUUUGCCGUGAAUGAUUCCACCACUCCCUAUGGCUUACAAGCUGCCUAGAUAGAUAACUCCUUAAAGAAAUCCCAUCCUAACUUGCAAAGCCAAAUUUGAGGCCUUUCGUUACUACAAUAAUGACUGCAACACCACAAAAGAAUUACUGGAAUGGCUUAGCUCUAGCUUCUCCCCUCCUCUGUUGGAGCUAUGUUAAUGGUGUCUCAAAACGUAGUCCUUGGAAGACCUAAUCAAAAUUUGGUAUUAUCACAGCCAAGCUAAAGAUGCUUCUAAUGAAAGAUUUGCCUAUGCAUCUAAAGGUCACUUGAAAUGAUAAUUUGCUGCAUCCUUCUUAUUAAGUUGUUGCCACCAUCUGCCUAAAGAACAGGGCUGCUUUUGACUUGAAAGAUUUUUCAGUAAUACUUUGUCUUCAUGGGAAAAAGAAAAAAGAAAAAAAGCACAAGUUACUUACUUGGGCUCACAGGAAGGGAAAAUCACCUUUAAGACUUUCAGAAUGAGCGCUGCUCCAAUAACUCCAACCACAACGACUUCCAUCACAUUAAAGAAAAUGGGUAAAGAUUUAAACCAGAAUCUGCACAGCCAUUUUCUCAAGUCUUCCACCCACUGGCACAUCACCUACAAUCAAACAGGUAGAAAUAAUCUGGUUGCAAAACAUAGCAGGUGCAGUUUUGUAGCUAUUGGUAAAAGCAGGAUGUAAUUGAUCGGUGACUCAGAUUUGUUUCUUUACUAAAGUUUGGAACCUUUUAACUGGACUAUUUCUUUGUGAAGGUUUAAUUUGUGCAGAAGUGACUCAUCCUCAAAGAGUUCCCUGAAAGGAAAGGCCACUUGGGAAAACAAAGGACACUUGAACAGAGUAGGUGAAGGGUGGGCUACUUGACCUACACUCAGGGUAGCUAUGAUGGCAUUGCUGUAUACAGCAGGGAAGGGUCACUGAAAUACAGGAGAGGGGUAGCACAUUCUCUAACCUACCUAUAACUUGCAGCAUACCAUUUUUGCCAUCCUCUCUCAGCAGUGUAUUUUAAGCAUUUCUCUCCACCACAAAGUAGGCUGUGGAAACCUAUCCCUAACUCAUCUGGAACCGAAGCUUUUCAAGCUGCUGCUGUGUUUCUUACAGCUGGUGAAACUCAUGGCUCAUCAACCAGUGGUCAGCACCUGCCUCCAAGCAGUGUCAGGAAGAAAAAAAAAAGUGCAACUUAAAGCUAAAAAAAAGUUAAAACUGCUGUAAAUAUUUAGUCCGUUAUAAAUAUCACGGCUCACUUUCAUCACAUAUCUGUGACACGACAUUGCAGGAUUGAGACACUCAUAUAUGAUUGACUGGAGUAAGAAAGAUUUCUCACUGCUAAAGGGUAAUUUAGGAAAGUUUUGACUUAGUUUUAAUUUUUUAUUUUUGUUGUUUUUCACCGUUUUCUGGAGUGUGCCUGUAACAGUCUCUUGUUCAUAGUGGUUGGCUGUGGGGAUCUCCAUGACUUCAGCUACUGUCAUGUACCUCACACAAAUAAGUAGAAUAGCAAUUCUCUCUUAAGAAAUCUAUUAUACGCCAUUUUGCUUUCUUCAAGUAAAAAAAUAGAGAAGCAAAGAAAGGUCUAGAAUGUUACGCACCUUCUUACCAUCUUUAAAUAAUGUUUUGUUUGGCCUCUACACAAAGAAAACCCUCCAUCUGAAUCCUAACAGUGCUCUUAUUUGAUUCCUUCUGUAAAGAUCCAGGAAGGAAGUAACCCUGUAUUUGUACAUGUUUCUGUAGACAAUACUAAAAACAGAGAGGAAGUCUAUUUGUCUGUUCUCUUGAACUAUAACAUUCUGCUUUAUCAGCAAAAUGUUGCUACAUUUGUCUUCCUAGGAAUGUCACCAAGUCAUCUUCCCAUUUCUGUGGAGACAGAGGAGAGAAAGAAAAAGGGAAGAAAAAAAAAACCAAAAAAAACCCGAAGGAAAAACAACAACAGGACCCUACCUUGUAGGAGGACGGAGGUUCUAUCCUAAGAGGCGUUUCUGGUAACUUGCCAGGUAAUGUCUCUUCAUCCACUGUGGUUUCUACCUGCCAGAUCAGGUACUGACUGGUAGUUUGCAGUGGAUCUUGAAUAUCUAAAGAAGAAAAGCUGGAUGUAGUGGGAGGGCUGUUUUGGAGGGGUGGUUUUUUUUAAGUUUUUUUUUAUUAUUAUUAUUUGACUCUGUAAGCUAUGAAGCAAAACCAUGCUGCAUUUCAUUAAGAUCAAAGAAAGCCAACAAUUUUUUUGUUCCACUUGAUAAGAAGCAGCAGUAUUACAAUGCAGCCCUUAGCUAUGAAUUUCAGCUGUCAUCAGAUUUUCAAAGUGACAAGCUAGAUAAAAAUAUUUAUCUCCUAUAAGAAAUCCUUGAGUUCUUGAUUGAACUGAACUAAGAUUAAAGUAUCCAAUAACUUCUCUUUCUUUAAAGUUAUUCAAGUUUAAUAACUUUCCUCUGAUUUGGAAGCGACCCAGACAGGUAUUUCCUCCACAGUUUUCCCUUUUGAUCUCAGGAAAAGGGGGAGCUUUAGGGAAAUUUCCAAAACAACACUGAAAGAGAAAUUUAUUUAUGUAAAUGUCUGGGCUAUGAUUUUACAAGCACCAAGUAAUUCAAAGGAGAACAGAUUUGGAAACAAAACAAAAGAAAUAACUAAAAAGUAGAAGAGGGGAAUUCGGGUGUAAAUAAAUUUAAAAAAAAACUUAAUGGUUAAUCUGACAACUGUUUUACCAUGCAAAACAACACUGGGAUAACAAUGUUAUUUUGUCCUCGUAAAUCAGUAUGUAAAUUAUGCUCAGAAAUAUUAUGCAACAGUUAAGAAAGAGACCUUUUCCUGAGAGGUUGGGAAGUGUAAAUAGCACAUCGUUGUCCCUUGGGAUGGAAUACAGCAUACUCUCUUUCAAAGGGACAGUGUAGUUUGAAUGUCUCAGUACCCUCAGGUCCUUCACUAAGAUAUCUAUUUCUGAUACCUCUUCCUGCUGAACCUGCAAGAGAUGCAAACAGAUUGAUAUUGUUGAGUUUAAAGUAAAGACAAAGUAGGCUGCCAAAGAAAACCAAUACGUGCUCGUAAACUCCAAGGCAGUAAGAUUUAGACAGAUGCUGUAACAUGAAUCAGUACUCUUAGCUUUAAUUAACACAUUUCUACAGCCAAUGCUGUAUUAGAAUGUAUGCUGGAUGGACCAGGCCUCCCUCUCCCUGCAAAAACAUGUCAUAGUCAAUCCGUGGGCUUUCAACCAAGUCUUACAGAGCUCCUCUUGUCAGGGAGGCACUUUAAAGCAUGAAAACCUCAAAUAUAUAUUAAAAUGGCACAUGGAAACAUUUAAUGUGUUGCUCAGAUGAGACCACUGCUGCUUUUGCAGUCAUUGCUUUUUUCCCCAACAAGUGAAAAAAUCCUUUUGAGGUAUUCAUUGCUGCUUUUGUUUAGCUUUAGCUUAUAUUUCUUUAAAGUGAUAUCAUUCAGAGCAGACAACAGUGAAGUACAGAGUAACUGUGAGUUCAUGUAUUCAACUCUCCUACUACAGGUUGAUGUAAAACAGUUUGUCAGUAGAUACAUGUCUUCAAAAAGGAAUGCAGGAGACGAUGUGGUUUCACUCGUGCUUUCAGAGCCAUUGGCCUUUUGCUUUUAACAUGUGCAGAACAGUACAACUGAAAAGAUGACUUACUGUCAGCUGAUACCAAAUUAGAAAGAUUGAAAGUUUCUGACUUAAAGGAACAAUUAGGGAAACAGAGUGAGGUUUCUAUGUGUUCUUACCAGGUGUCUAUGCAAACCCAAUAUGCAGUUUGAUGUCUAGUUUAAGAUCUGAACUACUACAACACUACUGUCUAACAACUGCACCAAACCAAAGUAUGUUUGCCAACAGCAGGGUAACCUCAUUAAAAAGCUUCAUAUCUCAAUGAGAUCACUGCUUUUAUUAAGAGAAAAAAAUUUACAGAGAAAUGUAUCAUGCCAGAAGUUCUUAAUGAUGAGCAUGUAAUUAAAGAUCAAUGGUAUUAUCAUCAUCCUCCUAUUAAAAAAAUGCAGCAGAAUAUAGGACAGCAGUUCUAUCUUCUAACUAUAACCUCUCUGGUUGGAAAAGUAUAACUUACAGGUGACUGUGAGAACUCAGUUCUGCACAUUUCAAUCUCAGCUCAGUUGUAGCCCCUCACAUUCACUGCUAUGUGUGCAAAUACAGUUAGAAGUUUGGUGGAUUUUUUUAAAUGUUGCUGUUCAUCUCAAAAAAGAAGAAUCUAUGUUCAUCAUCAAGAUUUUUACUCAGAUGAAUUAAUUAGCUUGAAUACAAAACAGUCUAAGGCUAUGUAUACAUGAGGCUAAGCCCACUUAAGAGGAUGCUGCUGCAAGCUGUGUUGUCAAAAUGUUUUAUUAGCUUGGAAUAAACAAUGGGCAAAAUCUCAAGACUCAGAAUGAGCACAUGCCCAUUUAUUAAUUUUGUUCACUACUUUGAAAAUGAAAUAUUGCUUGUGAGCUUGACUUUCCUUGCAUUUUGGAAAAGUUCACGAUCAUAGAAUCAUAGAAUCGCUAAGGUUGGAAAAGACCCACAAGAUCAUCCAGUCCAACCAUUUGUUCGCCCUUCACCAGUGGUUCCCGCUAAGCCAUGUCCCUCAGCACUGUGCUAACUAGCAUUACAUUACAUGCUUUGUACCUUGACCACCAUCCACACACGUGUAAACCUUUUAACUCGUGGCUACUCUUUGCUUCUCCUGAACUCAAAACAAGCAAAGUGUUGUUUUUCCUUACCUGCCUUCCAUCAAUUUCUGUCACUUCUUCCUGAAUGACAAUCAGCUGCAGAUCAGAACUUGAUGCCAAAGGCCACUCAUGAACCAUGAUGCGAACGCUGACAGUUCCCAGGCGCUGCUGCUCUACUGUAUCAUCCAGGCUUCCAUUCUCCACUGUUAAGACAUAAUGGCACAGUUUUCAAAGAGAAACCAUCCCAAACAGAAGGCAGGGUACGAUGGAAUUCUCCGUGGAGCACACAGAUGUGAACAAUGUGGCAUCCCUACAGGUGAGGCCAUGCUGGAGCUGGAGGGCAGCAGUGGAAGUCAAGGAGACCUAUCCAGCGCACAGAUCAUACAGUACAGGAUCUGAGACUCUGCUGCCCCAGUUUCUAAGCCACCAGCACUGUGUGUCACCUGCAGUCCUUGCCUAAGAGGCACCCAGGAGGAAUGCUCCGCUUGUGGCCCUUAGUUACACAACUCCACCUGCAACCUUUUUCCUCAUAAAGCUAUUUAGCACUUUUAAAUACAGAAAAAUCCUUUUUAGAACCAUUUAGGAACAUCUUACUUUGGGAAAAUAAGCAUCAGAAGGAAAGAAAGAGGGACUGCCCCAUGGGUGUAAGCACUAACAUGCUUGCUGAAUACUUUCAAGACCAAAAAAAGACCAAAUAUCCCAAGGUGAUGAAGCUCCCUGCAGUCCCGACCUUUCAUGCGUCAGGCUGGAGCUAAAGAUGUUCACUGAUCUGAAACUGACUUUGUGGGAACUUGAAGUGGGGAUAUAGGUUCAGGCACAGUGUAACAAUGUCAAGACAGUACUGCUUUGGAGACUUGGUCUCUAAUAUUCAAGAUUGUGAACAUUUGGCUCAAUUUUGAUUUUACAUACAGAUAUUCAGGAUUAUUUUUCCCCUCUCUUAAUAAGUAAUGAGUAUCUCAAUACUCCUUCAGCCUUUCAUAAACAUCAUCUGAAUCUGCUGUUGAGAAUUUAGUAAACAUGUAACUUGCUUUGCAGGUAACAGAAGUGCUGUGUUGAGGACCCAGACCCAAACAUGGGAAUGGACAAUUCCAGGUUCUCAGCUCCCAGGUCAAAUCAGUAUUUUUCUCCUUGUUUCAGAUUUUCAUCCAUAACUGUAGCCGCUGCAAGCUAUACAACUAAGGCUUUGGAAAUUAAUAGGAACCGCUACAGUAGAAUGCGAAGCAUCUCUCAAAAUCAGUCAGUAAAAUCAUAUCUAUUUUUCUGGAGUCAGUUAUCUUGUAGGUAAAUGACAUUUUGCCACAUUUUUCUAUCCUAGGAUAGAAAGCACAGAAGCUGUAGGAAUAUAUCUACCCCAGGAAUAGAGAAGUGAAUUACUGCUCUCCCACUUCAGAAAAGAACUAAUGUCAAGUUAAUAAUUGAUAAUACUUAUGAAAGAAGGGUUCAGGAGACAAGGUCAGGCUCAGAGAAGCCAUUUAGAAAAGCAUUAGUACUUUCUAAGUAAACGACUGGAUGUAAGGGGGGGGAUGACCUCAGAAACCAAGCAGCAGAAUGACUGCACCUGAUCCACCAAGACAUCGUUCUGAAAACAACAGAAGCUUAAAGCAAGAAAUACAAUGGGCCUCAAUUAAUUAUACAGUAUACUCUGAGCAUCUCAAAAAUCACAGUGCUUUCUGAUCUUCCACAGGUGUUGCAUUGAACUGGCGGAAAAAAAACCAGCAGUUUCAAGACCAUUGAUUACUACAAAACACAGCAAAACUGCAGUACUGCUGCCUUAAUAUCCUGUCCACAAGAACCUUCUUUGUCUCCUGAGGACAGAAAUGAGAUAAUUAAGAAGAUCUUCCCAAAAGAUCUUCAUAUUUUUGCUGUUGAGCCUCUGUUUGGAUGCCUGCCAGCGAGCCAAGGGACGUGGCCAUUAGCAGGGUGGAGCUGCAUCCUUCUGUUUACAUUGUCUAGCUUGUCCUGCAAAACAUUCUUCUGAAAAGACAGGCAGGGUCUUGAGUUCAGAUUCAACCAUUUAGAUACCAGCAUAUCAGUGUGACUCGAGUGCAAGGCACUAAGAUUUCUCCACACACAUCGGUAGGAAAACUUUCCUAAUUUGAGAAAUUUGCUUCUACAGUGCUGAAGUUUGCUGAGUAUGAGUACAUGCCAAAAUGGUAAGCUUUUGUUACUAGAUAACAGGGAAAGAAAAUACUGCAGGAAAAAAAAGAGAAUACUCACAUAUUACUGUUUGACACGUUAUGUGGGCAACUCCACUUCUCAUAGGAAAAUCAUUUAGAUAUACCUGUCCGUUAACAUAGGUGAUAUUAAAGACAACCUGUCCUUUAUGAAAUUCUCCAUUGCUUUUCAACAUCAUAACAUUGACUCUGAUCGUUUCCUGUCCCAGCGGCAGCGCGGCGGACGGGCUCAGAUGCAGCGCGGCGAUCAACGGCAGUAGCAGCGGCAACAGCCGCCGCCCGCGCCGUCCCAGCGCCGCCUCCAUCUUGCGACCCGGGAAUUAAAACAAAGUGAAACAUCAACAAGCGGCGGGGCGGGGCCGGGCUGCGGAGCCUGCAGGCCGCUGUUGCCCUCCGAGCCCGGGGCAGGCGGUCCUCCGGGAAGGGCCCUCCCGCUGCUCGGAAAUAGCUGCGGGUUUCCCAGGCUCGGCCGCCGCGGCCGAGAUGACGGGUGUCAGCUAACGCACCGUGCACCCCGAGGGCGCCUGUAGCGAUCCGGCGGCACGGCUCGCGGGGCUGCAGCAGCACCGGCUGUCCUCUGAGGGCUGCACGGGGCUGGAGAGCUAAGCAGACGGCGUGCCACGGGGCAGAGGUGGAGGGAAUUCCUUCAGCAACGAAGAACGUGUGAGAUUAGGGGUUUAGAAAGUGAGAGGUCUUCAGCCUAGGCGAGAGAACGCUGGCGGAAACUUCAUAACAGCACAACAGCGCAGAUGUCUCAGGCAAAGAGAAGGGAAACAGCCAAGAUCUGCGGGUCCUUGGUGGGCAUGGAGGUCAUAGAAUCAUAGAAUGGCCUGGGUUGAAAAGGACCACAAUGAUCAUCGAGUUUCAACCCCCCCUGCCGUGGGCAGGGUCACCAACCACUAGACCAGGCUGCCCAGAGCCACAUCCAGCCUGGCCUUGAAUGUCUUGAAUAUCUUGAGAUAGAUAGUGCUCUAUCUGUAAAAAAGGGCAGGAAACAUCUAGCUGCUAGCAAAAAACAUUCUGAUGUUUGCCUAGGUCUGCCUAGUGCAGCUCAGAAAGGGCAAUACAUGAGCCAUCCUGGUGAAGAAUUCCAAAAUACAUUUAUUAUCAACAGUUAGUACUGUUUAGCAGAUUAGAAAACACCAAGUUGAUUAGCUGACUCUCAUCAACACACAAGUCGGCACUGGAUGAAGGAAUAGAAGCACUGAUGUCAUAAUUUCCAUAGCCUCUCUUCAACAUCAUCCAGUUUCUCUCAGAUCUGUGCUAGAUUUCAGUUUGCUCAUUUGAAUCUAUUGUGUUUGGUCUACUAAAACAAAUAGGCAAAGGAUUUGUUUUCUGUUCAGGCUCAUGUGGCAAAAAUCCCCCACGGCACGUCAACUCCUCAGCCAGACAUUGCGCUGAGUGAUGUAGGAGUCUGUGGGGACAGGAGGGCAGCUCCAAGAAUGCAGCCCUUGUUGGUACUUGCAGCCAUUUGCAUGCUCUGGUGGGAGGAAGCCUAUAUAU
rnacentral:lncRNA from 1 species